GCAUCGGUGGUUCAGUGGUAGAAUGCUCGCCUGCCACGCGGGCGGCCCUGGUUCGAUUUCCGGCCGAUGCA
rnacentral:tRNA from 1 species